UGCGUAGGCGGAUUAAUAAGUCAGUGGUGAAAGCCUCUCGCUCAACGGGAGAACUGCCAUUGAUACUGUUAGUCUUGAGUAUGGUUGAGGUGGGCGGAAUGUGUCAUGUAGCGGUGAAAUGCUUAGAUAUGACACAGAACACCAAUUGCGAAGGCAGCUCGCUAAGCCAUAACUGACGCUGAGGCACGAAAGCGUGGGGAGCGAACAGGAUUAGAUACCCUGGUAGUC
rnacentral:rRNA from 1 species